ensembl:lncRNA
CUAACAACACUUUAUUAUUGUAUAAGUAUUUGGUGUGUGUAGUUUCUGGGCCUCUCUGCAUAAUGAAGUGAUUCUGACAGAGAUUCUUUUUGCUAGCUCCGUCUGUGACAACUACACCCGGAUCUGCUACAACCAAAAUAACAGUGCUUCCUUACACAACUACUAAUGAAACUGCAACGACCACAGCAGUGCUUAUUGGGAUGACAUCACCUGAAGGAGUCAGUGAAACAACUACAGCAGCUACUACGACAGCCGAGCCUACAGGCACAACAUUAGCACUUACCACAACAAAAGAAGCAGUCGCUAAAACAACUACAGCAUCAGAAAAGCCUACAAGCACAACAGUGACCCCUACCACAACUACAACAGG